UACGUAGGGGGCGAGCGUUGUCCGGAUUCAUUGGGCGUAAAGCGCGCGUAGGCGGCUCCGCAAGUCGGCCGUGAAAUCUCCGGGCUCAACUCGGAGGGGUCGGGCGAGACUGCGGGGCUCGAGGUGGGCAGAGGGCAGUGGAAUUCCGGGUGUAGUGGUGGAAUGCGUAGAGAUCCGGAGGAACACCAGUGGCGAAGGCAGCACUCUGGUACGUGACUGACGCUGAGACGCGAAAGCGUGGGGAGCAAACAGG
rnacentral:rRNA from 1 species